rnacentral:lncRNA from 1 species
UUUUUUGGUAGGAGUUAAGUAUUUCUCAAUUUAGUUACAGCAAGAGAGACUUGGUAGAGGAGCCCAGACCUGUUUCUGGCAAUCAGGAGUCAAGUGGGUUUUUAUUUGAAAUCAGAAGAAAAAAAAAUCCUGAUAAUAGGCCUGACGUUAAAAGGAUGCAACUAUAGAAAACUGGAGGGGCAGUCAGACAUGAGGAAGAGCACCUUAGCCCGACUUGAAAGUCUUAUAGGUUUCCGUAUUAUUAUUUUAGAUAGCAUUUAUGUUGUCCAACUAGAUAAUCCAAGAGCUUCUUAACAAGCUGAUUGUUGUCGAUGAUACUUACUUGAAGAAGACUUGAAUGUUUGUACUUAAUGCAUUAUUUUUUCUCCUUGAUUGUCCUCAUAAAA